GUGCUUGCUUCGGCAGCAUAUAUACUAAAAUUUGGAAUGAUACAGACAUUACCCUGGUCCCUGUGCAAGGAUGGCACUCAUGUUUGCAAGCAUUCCAUAUUUAA